CAGUCGCCGCGGUAAGACAGAGGAUGCAAGCGUUAUCCGGAAUGAUUGGGCGUAAAGCGUGCGUAGGCGGCUUUUUAAGUCGGAUGUGAAAUCCCUGAGCUUAACUUAGGAAUUGCAUUCGAUACUGGGAAGCUAGAGUAUGGGAGAGGAUGGUAGAAUUCCAGGUGUAGCGGUGAAAUGCGUAGAGAUCUGGAGGAAUACCGAUGGCGAAGGCAGCCAUCUGGCCUAAUACUGACGCUGAGGUACGAAAGCAUGGGGAGCAAACAGGAUUAGAUACCCCCGUAGUCCCUGUCUCUUAUAC
rnacentral:rRNA from 1 species